CAGGCCCAACCAUUUCAGGAAAGUAUCGGUAGCAUUUGCAUCCUGGCUGUAAAGGAACAUCUGUUGAUGAUGAGGGGCCAAAAUGCUGCGGUGAAACAAUCUACAAGAUGGAAGGAAAAGCAUGUCAACAGAUAGAUUGCAAGAAUGUAGAGGCCUCUGAGAAGCUGAAAAAUGCAGAGGUAUGCAGAAAAGAAAAACUCUGUUUCUGGGUGGGGAUUCAAACUUGCAUCUCCUCUAUCCCAGUUCUCUGCUGAUACCCUCAGAUGAUUCCUUCCAACCCUUUUCUAUUCACUUGCUGCCUAGUUCCCACUCCUACCCCCAUUGUAUUUGCCCUUUCCUAUAUUAAAUUUUGUCCCAUUAGCUAGCCAUCCACCUUACCAUUUCUUUGUUGAAUUGUCCCCUACCUACACACACUUUUCUACAGUGGGAGAAAGGAUGGAUGCAAACUCCCAUCCCUACAACAUGGCACAGAGAAGACCAGAAUCUUAAUUGCCCUGCACCUUACACAGUCAUUUAAACAUGAGGAAAGUGUGUAUAAAAUGCUAUGUAAACCCUUUGGGGUUUAGAGAGCAUGUCCCUUUAAAUCUUUUUCCUAAGCGGGAGGGGGAGAGUAAGAAAAAAGGAGGGAAACUCCAGG